UACGUAGGGGGCUAGCGUUGUCCGGAUUUAUUGGGCGUAAAGAGCUCGUAGGCGGUUUGUUGCGUCGGCUGUGAAAUCCCGAGGCUCAACCUCGGGUCUGCAGUCGAUACGAGCAAACUAGAGUGUUGCAGGGGAGACUGGAAUUCCUGGUGUAGCGGUGAAAUGCGCAGAUAUCAGGAGGAACACCGGUGGCGAAGGCGGGUCUCUGGGCAACAACUGACGCUGAGGAGCGAAAGCGUGGGGAGCGAACAGG
rnacentral:rRNA from 1 species